GUCUACAUUAGCAGCGAUAUCAGUGAACUAUAGCAGCGGAGAAAACCACCGCAAAAAUGGUGCAGGGAGCAAUGUACGACUGCAGACAAGACGACAUGUUCUGUGCGCUGCGGUCGCUCGAGUACUCCUACAGGGUCUUCGACGGCAUCAUCAUCGGCGUCCUCAUCAUGCAGGUGCUGGUGCUGCUCAUCAUCGCCGCCGCCAUCUUCUUCAGAUGUAAAAGCUAGAACACCCUCAGAGAACACUCGUGAGGAAAACAUCAAUAUGACAAGUCAAGGACAGACCGAGGCAAAAUCCUACGACAACUAAGCGGUCCAGUAACAACAACCCGUCGUGAUUUUGUUGUUCCACGUACGACAGCCAAUUUCACUCGCGAGUGUUUUCGUUUGUAAAUAGAAGCGUGAUAGGCAAACCGAUAGUAAUUAUAGAGCCAUAGUUUACAAGUUAUCAUGCACACUAAGUUACCCUAAGGUCCCAGAUAGAGAAAGGAUAUUUAGAAGGGUAGGAAAUGGAUUUUGACAAUAUUAGACUUUUUCACAAAGGCAAAUAACGAGCGUAAUCACGAUACUUCGUAUUUAUUACGUAAUUAUAAAGAAUAAAAUGAUUGAGCUUGAAAUUGUAUUAACAAUUUGCCGACUAACGGUGAACUAAACGGCAAUGUUAUCAGCUAUUUGAUAAAAUAGAAUCGAUUGACUUAUUACGACAAAACGUUGUAGGUAAUGUAAUGUGGAAGCGAGAGUAUAUCGAUAAUUCACGACACUCUACAUUAAUAAUACAUAAAUAAUGCACGUUAAUGUUUAAUGAGUUAAUGUUUAAUUAGUAAUGUUCAAUUAUCACGCAAUCAGUUCCAUCUAUAUAUAUAUAUAAUGCAUAAUGUACACAAAGUUGAAGACGCUUUCGCACAUAACUUAACAUGUAUUUUGGGAGACAUUAUAUUUCGCGGGACUGUCUGGUUACCUACUACUUAGUAUAUUUAAAAACGUACCGUAAGUUUUGUCCGAUGCCCCGAGAAAUGUCAUGCGAGUCUAUGUAUCGCAAUAAAUCAAAUUAUAAGAUACAAAAUAACAUGGGCAUGAUCGCCGCAAAGUUUAUAUCUAACAACAUCUGACUGUUGAAUAAAAUUUUGACAUCUAUCUAUAAAA